rnacentral:misc_RNA from 1 species
UCUCCGUUGGUGAACCAGCGGAGGGAUCAUUAUCAGGUUUAUAACUCCCAAACCCUAUGUGAACUUACCACUUGUUGCUUCGGCGCGCGCUUCGGCGCCGCCGAGGACACUUAAACUCUUUGUUUUUAUAAGCAUUUCUGAGUGGCCGAAAGGCAAAAUACAAAUGAAUCAAAACUUUCAACAACGGAUCUCUUGGUUCUG